GUAUUUUGACUGUGCAAAGGUAGCAUAAUCAUUAGUCUUUUAAUUGAAGASUGGUAUGAAUGGUUGGAUGAGGUAAUUUCUAUUUUAUAUUAAUUGUAAUUGAAUUUAGAUUUUAAGUAAAAAUACUUAAGUAUAAUUAAGGGACGAGAAGACCCUAUAGAGUUUAAUAUAUGUAAUGAUUAAUUGAGUUAUAAAGAAUUUUUUGGUUAUUAUGAAAUUUAUUUAAUUGGGGUGAUUGGAAAAUAAUUUGAACUUUUCUUUAAUUUUAAUACUAUAAUUAAUUAUAUGAU
rnacentral:rRNA from 1 species